GGACCGGAAGAGGGGCUGUGAUAGCUGUCACCCCGCUGGUGGCCAGGGUUGAUCUGGCUGACCCGGCUGACUAGACAGGCAUUCUCUUCCUCCUUAUUGUUUCAAGUGCAUCCCUCUUGAAGCUGUGUGUACAGUGGUAGAGGAUAACCUUCCCCAAAUAGAGGAGUGCCAGUCUUGGGGUGAAAGAGGUAAGAGUCCAUGUGCUUUCUGGUGAGAACCCCCAAACAAGCUCUCAAGGUCCAGGGUAGGGUGCAGGCCGUCUGAACAUAAGCAGACUGAAAGGCUCCACUAACAGGCCGUCAUGG
rnacentral:snRNA from 1 species